rnacentral:rRNA from 1 species
AUUGAACGCUGGCGGCAUGCUUUACACAUGCAAGUCGGACGGCAGCACAGAGAAGCUUGCUUCUUGGGUGGCGAGUGGCGAACGGGUGAGUAAUAUAUCGGAACGUACCGAGUAAUGGGGGAUAACUAAUCGAAAGAUUAGCUAAUACCGCAUAUUCUCUGAGGAGGAAAGCAGGGGACCUUCGGGCCUUGCGUUAUUCGAGCGGCCGAUAUCUGAUUAGCUAGUUGGUGGGGUAAAGGCCUACCAAGGCGACGAUCAGUAGCGGGUCUGAGGGGAUGAUCCGCCACACUGGGACUGAGACACGGCCCAGACUCCUACGGGAGGCAGCAGUGGGGAAUUUUGGACAAUGGGCGCAAGCCUGAUCCAGCCAUGCCGCGUGUCUGAAGAAGGCCUUCGGGUUGUAAAGGACUUUUGUCAGGGAAGAAAAGGCUGUUGCUAAUACCGACAGCUGAUGACGGUACCUGAAGAAUAAGCACCGGCUAACUACGUG